UGGCGGACGGGUGAGUAAUGUCUGGGAAACUGCCUGAUGGAGGGGGAUAACUACUGGGAACGGUAGCUAAUACCGCAUAACGUCGCAAGACCAAAGAGGGGGACCCUCGGGCCUCUUGCCAUCGGAUGUGCCCAGAUGGGAUUAGCUUGUUGGUGGGGUAACGGCUCACCAAGGCGACGAUCCCUAGCUGGUCUGAGAGGAUGACCAGCCACACUGGAACUGAGACACGGUCCAGACUCCUACGGGAGGCAGCAUG
rnacentral:rRNA from 1 species